AGGAGGCAGCAGUGAGGAAUUUUGGACAAUGGGGGCAACCCUGAUCCAGCCAUGCCGCGUGAGGGAAGAAGGCCUUCGGGUUGUAAACCUCUUUCGGCCGGGACGAAAGCGCGCGGGUGAAUAGCUCGCGUGGAUGACGGUACCGGAAGAAGAAGCACCGGCUAACUACGUGCCAGCAGCCGCGGUAAUACGUAGGGUGCGAGCGUUAAUCGGAAUUACUGGGCGUAAAGCGUGCGCAGGCGGUGCACUAAGCCAGACGUGAAAGCCCCGGGCUUAACCUGGGAAUGGCGUUUGGGACUGGUGUGCUGGAGUAAGGCAGAGGGGGGUGGAAUUCCAGGUGUAGCAGUGAAAUGCGUAGAUAUCUGGAGGAACACCGAUGGCGAAGGCAGCCCCCUGGGCUAUUACUGACGCUCAUGCACGAAAGCGUGGGGAGCAAACAGGAUUAGAUACCCGGGUAGUCCU
rnacentral:rRNA from 1 species